AGCAGAUGCGAUGAGAAGCGAGACCACAUGGCCAAGAUCUGAUAUCAGGAAGACAUGCGUCUGGCUCAACGCAGUAGAUGCACUGAACUUGAAGCUCCAUACUGUAGGUCGGUGGACUUGAGACUGUCUUUCCUUGAUUUUGCUACAACUAACUGUAAAGCAGCACACAGAACCUCCAUGACUCCUGGGAUGAUAUACAUUGAAUGCCCGUGAGCUGAUUAAUAAAGCAGAGGGCUGAUGGGAAAUGAACCGCAAACUUACUCAAACAGCAAUAAAACAAGUCAGGAUUCACAAAUCUGCAUUAAGAAGGCCCUGUGCUAGUAGCUCCCCCUCCUUCCUCCUUUCGCCCUGAUUUAUAAAACAGGACUGGCUGUAAUUGACUCCCCCUCGGAUCCUAAUAUAAAGUUAUAAUCGGACUCGGGCGUGCGAGCCAGGUCUCCGCCACACGUUUAAAAGCAAAUAGAGCAAACUGCAUGGAGCACAGAAACAUGGCCAUGAAUGAUGUCUCUGUGAAUGCUGGCUAAAUUAAGAGGCAAGGGUUGAUUUAGGCCAUCUCGCUCCUCUCUCUCUAUCUUUUUCUUGCCUUUUACUCUCUUUUUUCAGGGUUGCAUCCACCGGUUCUUGUACUUGUACUCUAUCAGAUGCAUAAAACUGCUUUUAUAAAGACAAUAAAUGUAUCAAAUUCAUGAGAACAACUCAAGUCAAGCCACUUACCAAGCUAUUUAUAUAGCGCUUAGAUACAAGUUUAAAUUACAAAAGGCCUGGAUUUUCAAUGUGGUCUCAAACUUUUUGGGUCCCACUGUGUGGUUAAACCAGA